ensembl:lncRNA
AGGCUAGAACCCAUUAGAAGACUGUCUUCGUGAAGAUGGACGAGGCUAGAACCCAUUAGAAGACUGUCUUCGUGAAGAUGGACGAGGCUAGAACCCAUUAGAAGACUGUCUUCAUGGACGAGGCUAGAACCCAUUAGAAGACUGUCUUCAUGAAGAUGGACGAGGCUAGAACCCAUUAGAAGACUGUCUUCAUGAAGAUGGACGAGGCUAGAACCCAUUAGAAGACUGUCUUCAUGAAGAUGGACGAGGCCAGAACCCAUUAGAAGACUGUCUUCAUGGACGAGGCCAGAACCCAUUAGAAGACUGUCUUCAUGAAGAUGGACGAGGCCAGAACCCAUUAGAAGACUGUCUUCGUGAAGAUGGACGAGGCUAGAACCCAUUAGAAGACUGUCUUCGUGAAGAUGGACGAGGCCAGAACCCAUUAGAAGACUGUCUUCGUGAAGAUGGACGAGGCUAGAACCCAUUAGAAGACUGUCUUCAUGAAGAUGGACGAGGCCAGUAGCCCUGAAGGGACAAUAGAGAGGAACAAUCUGCUGCUGUUCACUCCAAUAGGAAAACAACAGUAGUUAAGAGGAGAAUUGUAAUCAGAUACGUUGUUCAUGUUUUUUACCUAAUAAUGAUGUCACUGGUUCAUUCUGAACUAUUAUAGGGCUGCUUUCUCAGACGACCCCUUGGUCCUGGACUAAACAUCACUUUCAAUGGAGAAUGUCCAUUCACCACUGCUCUCUAGCCCAGAACUAGGUUUAGGCCGAAUGAGGAAACCGGCCCGUUUUAUAAAGAUAUAUAUAUAUAAACCUGUUACGAAAGUUUUAAGCCUUGAUGGGACUCAGCAACUACAGUAGAGGGGUAAAAAAUGGUUCUCUACGCAAUUCAUUACAGUGCCUUUAUGUCAAUCUUUUUAAAUGUAUUGCCACAUUUUACAGAGGUCUUACAGUAAGUAAUCGUGUCUAGCUACACUAUAUAUACAAAAGUAUGUGGACACCCCUUCAAAUGAGUGGAUUCGUCUAUUUCAGACAUCUGUUGCCGACAGGUGUAUAAAAUUGAGCAUGCCUCCAUGCAAUCUCCAUAGACAAACACUGGUAGUAGAAUUGCCUUAGUGAAGAGCUCAUUGACGUUCAACGUGGCACCAUCGUAGGAUGCCACCUUUCCAACAAGUCAGUUUGUCAAAUUUCUGCCCUGCUAGAGCUGCCCCCCGGUCAACUGUAAGUUCUGUUAUUACAGAGCGGCUCAGCCGCUAAGUGGUAGGCCACAUAAGCUCACAGAACGGGACCACCCGAGUGCUGAAGCGCUUGGCACGUAACAAUCGUCUGACCUCGGUUGCAACACUCACUACCGAGUUUCAAACUGCCUCUGGAAGCAACGUCAGCACAAGAACUGUUCGUUGGGAGCUUCAUGAAAUGGGUUUCCAUGGCCGAGCAGCCGCACACAAGCCUAAGAUCACCAUGCGCAAAGCCAAGCGUCGGCUGGAGUGGUGUAAAGCUCACCACCAUUGGAUUCUGGAGUAGUGGAAACGCUUCACCAUCUGGCAGUCUGACGGAUGAAUCUGGGUUUGGCGAAUGCCAGGAGAACGCUACCUGCCUGAAUGCAUAGUGCCAACUGUAAAGUUUGGUGGAGGAAGAAUAAUGGUCUGGGGCUGUUUUCCAUGGUUCGGGUCCCUUAGUUCCAGUGAAGGGAAAUCUUAAUGCUACAGCAGACAAUGACAUUCAAGAUGAUUCUCUGCUUCCAACUUUGAGACAAAUGUUUUGGGGAAGGCCCUUUCCUGUUUCAGCAUGACAAUGCCCCCGUUCACAAAGCGAGGUCCAUACGGAAAUGGUUUGUCGAGAUCAGUGUAGAAGAACUUGACUGGCCUGCACAGAGCCCUGACCUCAACCCCAUCGAACACCUUUGGGAUGAAUUGGAACGCAGACUGCGAGCCAGGAGGCCUAAUCGCCCAACAUCAAUGCACUGACCUCACUAAUGCUCUUGUGACUGAAUGGAAGAAAGUCCCCUCAGCAAUGUUCCAACAUCUAGUGGAAAGCCUUCCCAGAAGAGAGGAGUCUGUUAUAGCAGCAAUGUUCCAACCUCUAGUGGAAAGCCUUCCCAGAAGAGUGGAGGCUGUUAUAGCAGCAAUGUUCCAACAUCUAGUGGAAAGCCUUCCCAGAAGAGAGGAGGCUGUUAUAGCAGCAAUGUUCCAACAUCUAGUGGAAAGCCUUCCUAGAAGAGAGGAGGCUGUUAUAGCAGCAAUGUUCCAACCUCUAGUGGAAAGCCUUCCUAGAAGAGAGGAGGCUGUUAUAGCAGCAAUGUUCCAACAUCUAGUGGAAAGCCUUCCUAGAAGAGUGGAGGCUGUUAUAGCAGCAAUGUUCCUACAUCUAGUGAAAGCCUUCCCAGAAGAGAGGAGGCUGUUAUAGCAGCAAAGGGGAGGACCAACUCCAUAUGUAAUACCCAUGUUUUUUGCAAUGAGAUGUUGGACGGGCAGGUGUCCACAUACUUUUGGUCAUGUAGUGUACAAACUACAAACACACGUUAUAGAAAUUCCACUCACAACACUAACACGUGUCCAAACCUGAUACUUUUUUUAAAAAUAAAUUUUUAUAAUUGUAGCCUCUCUUUAGUGUGGUAUCAAGUUCUUUCCCCAGAGUGUUUUAUUUUAUAUAAUGUUUUAUAAAUUACAUCUCUGAUUUUGACCUGAUGAUAUUGAAUACUGUUUUACUGGUUUGUUAGUUAUUUCGUUGCGGAUGGGCUUUGGUGGGUUGUUCUUGGAUUAUCUGUGGGUUCGAUAACUGAUCUACAAGUUGAUAACGAGUGUUUGACUUUUAGGGGAAAAGUAUUUAUAAAAUGUAUCCUGGAGCAGAAAACACAAUGCAGGACAGUGGGGGGAAAACAGACGUAUUUAAUUAAAUUGAAAGUUUCUAAUUACGAUUUGAAAAUGGAUAUCGAGAUAUACUGAAUAACUAAUUUUGAAAGAAAAAAUAGUUGUAUUGAUUUGUUGCCUAUAUAAAGUAUUAAUGAAUUAUAAAUGAUAUUGAUAUUUCAAUGUUUCACAUUUUGGAAUUGAUCUUUAGCCAAACCUAGUGUGAUUUGUAUUGGAAGGAAUUGAUCUUUAGCCAAACCUAGUGUGAUUUGUAUUGGAAGGAAUUGAUCUUUAG